rnacentral:rRNA from 1 species
GUAGUCCACGCCGUAAACGAUGGAUACUAGCUGUGCGGUCGCAAGACUGCGUGGCUAAGCGAAAGUGAUAAGUAUCCCACCUGGGGAGUACGUUCGCAAGAAUGAAACUCAAAGGAAUUGACGGGGGCCCGCACAAGCGGUGGAGCAUGUGGUUUAAUUCGAUGAUACGCGAGGAACCUUACCAAGGCUUAAAUGGGGGACGACAGUUGUGGAAACAUGACUUUCUUCGGACGUCCUUCAAGGUGCUGCAUGGUUGUCGUCAGCUCGUGCCGUGAGGUGUCAGGUUAAGUCCUAUAACGAGCGCAACCCCUGUUGUUAGUUGCCAGCGAGUCAUGUCGGGAACUCUAGCAAGACUGCCAGUGCAAACUGUGA